UCCAGACUCCUACGGGAGGCAGCAGUCGGGAAUAUUGCGCAAUGGAGGCAACUCUGACGCAGUGACGCCGCGUAUAGGAAGAAGGUUUUCGGAUUGUAAUCUAUUGUCCACAGGGAAGAUACAAGACUGUACCUGUGAAGAAAGCUCCGGCUAACUACGUGCCAGCAGCCGCGGUAAUACGUAGGGAGCAAGCGUUAUCCGGAAUUAUUGGGUGUAAAGGGAGCGUAGACGGCAGUGCAAGUCUGGAGUGAAAGGCGGGGGCUCAACCCCCGGACUGCUCUGGAAACUGUACGGCUGGAGUGCAGGAGAGGUAAGUGGAAUUCCUAGUGUAGCGGUGAAAUGCGUAGAUAUUAGGAGGAACACCAGUGGCGAAGGCGGCUUACUGGACUGUAACUGACGUUGAGGCUCGAAAGCGUGGGGAGCAAACAGGAUUAGAUACCCUCGUAGUC
rnacentral:rRNA from 1 species